rnacentral:rRNA from 1 species
GAUGAACGCUGGCGGCGUGCCUAAUACAUGCAAGUCGAGCGAACGGACGAGAAGCUUGCUUCUCUGAUGUUAGCGGCGGACGGGUGAGUAACACGUGGAUAACCUACCUAUAAGACUGGGAUAACUUCGGGAAACCGUAGCUAAUACCGGAUAAUAUUUUGAACCGCAUGGUUCAAAAGUGAAAGACGGUCUUGCUGUCACUUAUAGAUGGAUCCGCGCUGCAUUAGCUAGUUGGUAAGGUAACGGCUUACCAAGGCAACGAUGCAUAGCCGACCUGAGAGGGGUGUCGGCCCACCCGGAACUGGAGCACGGUCCAGACCCCUUCGGGGGGCCGCCGUAGGGAAUCUUCCGGAAUGGGCGAAAGCCUUGCGGAGCAACGCCGCGUGAGUGAUUAAGGUUUUCGGAUCGUAAAACUCUGUUAUUAGGGAAGAACAUAUUUUUAAGGAACUGUGCACAUCUUGACGGUACCUAAUCAGAAAGCCACGGCUAACUACGUG